rnacentral:rRNA from 1 species
GUAGGUGGCAAGCGUUGUCCGGAAUUAUUGGGCGUAAAGCGCGCGCAGGCGGUUCUUUAAGUCUGAUGUGAAAGCCCACGGCUCAACCGUGGAGGGUCAUUGGAAACUGGAGAACUUGAGUACAGAAGAGGAAAGCGGAAUUCCACGUGUAGCGGUGAAAUGCGUAGAGAUGUGGAGGAACACCAGUGGCGAAGGCGGCUUUCUGGUCUGUAACUGACGCUGAGGCGCGAAAGCGUGGGGAGCAAACAGGGAUUAGAUACCCUGGUAGUCCACGCCGUAAACGAUGAGUGCUAAGUGUUAGGGGGUUUCCGCCCCCGUUAGUGCUGCAGCUAACGCAUUAAGCACUCCGCCUGGGAGUACGGCCGCAAGGCUG